UUUAUACGCUGAAAAAGGCAAACACUUCCAUCUUCCAAUUUCCCCAAAUCUGCCCAAUCCAAAAACAUUCUAAGCCAGUACUUAAUUUCCACUCUAUCUAAAAUAUGCCCAAACAUUCAAAUCGAUUGUUGUUCGGAGACAGUGAAGCUCAGUUGUUUGUCGUCUUCUCUCCCUAAUCCCAUCUCUCUCCUAAUUUUUUUUCUUCAGAUUAUUAAUAUUUAUUUAUCAAAAAUCCAAUUCCCCAGCCUUUCGCUAGCUCUUGCUCAACUGUUACACUGCUGCAGGCGGCGAGUGUGGGAAGACUCUCUGCUUAAAUCUCACGAUUUUGACCCCGCAUUGUUCUAGGUUCGUGUCUCUUUCGCAAAUUUCGAUUCCUUUUUUGGAUUGGAUCUGUGAUUUCUUGCUGAAUAUGUACGGCUGAAUUGGGUUUUCUGAUACGUUCCUGUACGGUCUGGACCAGAUUUUGGUGUCGAUAGAAUGUUCUGCCGAAUCGAUCUGAAUGUGGAUAAUGGAAACAAUCGAGCGCACGCCUCGGCAGAGCAAUAAGAAAAUUCAAGUAUUCGGCGAAGAAUAUCGCGAGGUAAACUGUACCUAGUCGGCCGACGCAGAUGCCUUCAUAGUCGAAGUUCUUGCGUUCUGAGACGAAGUUCUUGCAAAGAUUUUCGAUUUUGUUAUUUGAAAUUUGAAAGGGUAUAAUGGAAAUCCUAUUUUAAAAUAAAAGCACUUAACCGUGAGUUUAAAAUAAACUCGCCAACUUCAACAGUCACAAAACCGAGGCUUAACAAUGUAAUAGCAGCUGGCCGAGCCUCGCCAACGGGCCCCCCAGCGUCAAUUAACCGUGGCUAGCACGAUGUAUAGGCGGGUUUAAUAAACACACUAGCCGAAACCAUGCUACCAAAUGGACCCUUAGUCUCAUCUUCACCAAAUCUGUAGAUUCAGUUAAUAGCAUGUCGAAGACACCACCCUCCAUGAUGGUGGCCACGAUCAUGGCAUGCCAUCGUGCUCACGAUGGUACCCACGAUCGUGGACACGAUAUUGUGCUACCGUCGUGACCACAUGUCAUUCCUGCGCAGAAAUCGAAGAGAAAGAGUGUUGACUUCUUUAAAAAGUGGUGGGGAUAUAGAACUUAUUGAUUUUACCGAUUUUGGUAUGCAAGAAUGGGUUUUAAAGCGAG
rnacentral:lncRNA from 1 species